AAGUCGUAACAAGGUUGCCGUAGGUGAACCUGCGGAAGGAUCAAGACCGUACACUCGGGGAGCUUUGCCAAAGGGUCCCCAUGCCCCCUAAUAACCCCACAGUUUAAUGUGAAGCUCAAUGUAAUACAUUGGGUAAAAAAACCGAACAACUGUUAACAAUGGAUAUCUUGGUUCUC
rnacentral:misc_RNA from 1 species